rnacentral:rRNA from 1 species
AAUGGGCGAAAGCCUGAUGCAGCAACGCCGCGUGAGUGAUGAAGGCCUUCGGGUCGUAAAACUCUGUCCUCAAGGAAGAUAAUGACGGUACUUGAGGAGGAAGCCCCGGCUAACUACGUGCCAGCAGCCGCGGUAAUACGUAGGGGGCUAGAGUUAUCCGGAAUUACUGGGCGUAAAGGGUGCGUAGGCGGUUUAUCAAGUCAGGGGUGAAAGGCUACGGCUCAACCGUAGUUAGCCUCUGAAACUGGUGAACUUGAGUGUAGGAGAGGAAAGUGGAAUUCCCUGUGUAGCGGUGAAAUGCGUAGAUAUUGGGAGGAACACCAGUGGCGAAGGCGACUUUCUGGACUACAACUGACGCUGAGGCACGAAAGCGUGGGGAGCAAA